rnacentral:rRNA from 1 species
AACGGCUGUCACUCGGGACGAAUUUUGACGGUACCGAGAGAGGAAGCCACGGCUAACUACGUGCCAGCAGCCGCGGUAAUACGUAGGUGGCGAGCGUUAUUCGGAAUUAUUGGGCCUAGAGGGUUCGUAGGGGGUAAUGUAAGUCCGGUGUGAAAUCUCGAGGCUCAACCUCGAAACUGCAUUGGAAACUGCGUUACUUGAGUGUCAGAGAGGAAAGCGGGAUUCCUGGUGUAGCGGGUGGAAUGCGUAGAUAUCAGGAAGAACACCGACGGCGAAGGCAGCUUUCUGGCUGACAACUGACCCUGAUGAACGAAAGCUAUGGGUAGCGACAGGGAUUAGAUACCCUGGUAGUCCUAGCUUGUAACGUUGUGCACUUGGAUGUGGGCGGAUUUGGUCCCGUCUGUGUCUGAGCGAAGGCGUUAAGUGCACCGCUUGGGGACUACGGCCGCAAGGUUAAAACUCAAAGGAAUUGACGGGGGCCCGCACAAGCGGUGGAGCAUGUGGCUCAAUUCGAGGCAACGCGAAGAACCUUACCUGGGUUUGACAUAUACCUGACCGCCGGUGAGAGCCGGUUUCUCUUUGAGCAGGUAUACAGGUGCUGCAUGGCUGUCGACAGCUCGUGCUGUGAAGUGUUCGGUUAAGUCCGGCAACGAGCGCAACCCACGCUGUUAGUUACCAUCAGGUGAAGCUGGGGACUCUAACAGGACUGCCCGUGCUAAGCGGGAGGAAGGCGUGGACGACGUCAAGUCCGCAUGGCCCUUACGCCCAGGGCUGCACACGUGCUACAAUGGCCGGUACAGAGGGUCGCCACUCUGCGAAGAGGAGCUAAUCCCGAAANCCGGCCCCAGUUCGGAUUGGAGUCUGCAAUUCGACUCCAUGAAGUAGGAAUCGCUAGUAAAGGCGUAUCAGCAACGGCGCAUUGAAUCUGUUCCCGGGCAUUGUCACACCGCCCGUCACAUCAUGGAAGCCGGCUGCACCCGAAGU